AUGUUUGAAAUUCCCGCCAAUUCCCAUUUUCCCACCAAGAAUUUUCGGGAUUUUCCUCUGCCGGAUUCCCGGGAUUCGCGCCGCGGAUCGGGAAAAGCUCGGAGGAUUUUUUGGGAAUUUCGGGAAUUCCAGUUGGGAAUAUUGAAAACCCCUCCCCCACAAAAAAACCCGGGAAAAAAAAUUCCUUCGUCCCUCCCAGGAGGGAAAAGCGGGAAUUUCCCGGGAAUUCCAGGAAUUCCAUGGAUUCUGACCCCGGCAUUCCCGGUUUUCCAGCCGCUCCCGCCGCCUACACCAUCUACAUGGGCAAGGACAAGUACGAGAGUGAGUGCCGGGAAUUCCGGGAAUUUUGGGAAUUCUGGGAAUUUCGGGGGCCGGGAAUUCCAGGAUUUCCUUGGGAAUAUCCCACAUUUCCCUCCCCACCCCCCUUCCUGUGGUUUUUUGGGAUUUCUUUGGAUGUUCCCGGGUUUAGGGGAGGGAAAAAUUCCCUUUUCCCGGGCAGAAUUCCCGGAUUUCCGGCCCCUUUGGGGAAUUUUGGGAAUCUUUUCCGGCUCUUUCCAGAGCGGUGCCCAGGGAUUGGAUCUGGCUGGGAAUUCCGGGAUUUGGGAAUUCCCAGGAUUUGGGGUUGGGGUGGGAAUUUGGGAUGGAAUUCCCGGGAUUUGGGUCAGGAAUUCCCAGGAUUUGGGGUUGGGGUGGGAAUUCUGGGAUUUGGGGUUGGGAAUUCCGGGAUUUAGAGCUGGAAUUCCAGGGAUUUGGGGACAGGAGGUGGGAAUUGGGAUGGGAAUUCUGGGAUUUGGGGUUGGGUUAGAAAUCCUGGGAUUUGGGGCAAGAAUUCCCAGGAUUUGGGGAUGGGAAUCCCGGGAUUUGGGGUUGGGGGUGGGAAUUGGGUCUUGGAAUCCCCGGAUUUGGGAAUUGGAGAUGAAAAUCCCGGGAUUUGGGGCUGGGAAAGCCGGGAUUGGGGAUUUGGGAAUUUGGGGAUUGGGAAUUUUGGGAACUCUGGGAUUUGGGAAUUGGGAAUUUGGGAAUGUUGGGAUUUAG
rnacentral:lncRNA from 1 species